rnacentral:tRNA from 1 species
GGAGAGAUGGCCGAGCGGUCGAAGGCGCACGCCUGGAAAGUGUGUAUACGGCAACGUAUCGAGGGUUCGAAUCCCUCUCUCCGCCA